UUUACGUUGCUCUGGACAAAUUGUGGCGAUGGAGUGGUGAUUGGAUCCGAUUCAUGCUUUGUAUGUUCGAUUGGGAACUUCCCUGAUAUCGUUCCUUAGUUGUUCUUCCUCUUCAAUCCAAUCCUCCAUCCACAGCCCCUCUUCCAUCGUCACCAAAGAGGAACAUGAAUUGCAGGAAUAGGAAAAGCUAUUCUUUGAUGUCGACGACGACAAGAACAACGAGUUGACAAAACCCUAAGCCCAAACGCGUCCUUGAACCCAAUCCCACAGGUCAUCCGCCUAUUUCGCCAUGGCGGUCCUUUUCUCGUUGUGUGUUCGCUCUUGUUCUACUUCUUCUACGUCGAGGUGUCCUCCUUGGAGAAAGUUUUACUGGGGUUGAUUUUCGUGGUCGUGGCACUGUACUUUGUGUCCAAGAACAAGGGUUUGAUUUUGAGAUCCUUUUCCGCGGUGAAGCAUUUGUGGGAGGAGAAUGUAAAGCGCUUGGGGUUUUCAAAGGUGGUGGCAGCGAGGCCGGUGCAGUGGUUCAACGGAUAGCCGGCUGAAGCGGGAAGGAAGGCGACGAAGAUAGUGAGGGAACGGGUGUAGUUUUACAGCAAUGGGGAGUCGCUUCAGGGGUUGAGACACAGUUAUGGUGUUUAUAGGUUCUAUAUGGGAUCGCUUGGGAGGAUCUGGUCUGUUAUCCCCUUUAGUUGUUGAUUUAUUGGUUCCACUACCACUUUAUGAGUUUUCUGCUUUCUUCUUGCAUGCCUAAGUAGAACUUAAACUACCAAGUUCUAAUUUAGAUGCCUUGGUUGUUAGAUAACUGAUUGAUUGGUUUCUGUUGAUGAUUUAUGCGGCUUGUUCGAUUUGUCUACUAAUGGGUUGCAUUGUAAAGUUAUUUUCUUCUUCAAUUAGCAUUCAUUGUUUCUUGGGAGGUUAGAGUAGACAAUAACGCCUGAGGUUUUAGAUGUUGUUUUUCAAAAAUCUUAUUUUGGAUGAAUUGUUGUGCUGUAGAAAUGGUGACAACCUCCUUUUCUCUCCAAGAACGUAAGCCAUUAAACUCUAGUGUAUUUUUUCUUCCCUUAAUAAGCUAGCUCCCACCCACUAACUUUUCUAGUGUUGCACAUGCAACACUUGCUGGUGAGUUUUAUAGCAUUGUUGAUCUUUGCAAUGUCUCUGAAACUCGGUACUUAAUGCAGACCCCUUGUGCUUCCAUGAUCAAUGAACGUCCCCAUGUAAAAGCUUGGUGGGAAGAUAUCUCUUAUAGGCCUGCUUUCAAGUAAGGUUGAGGCGGGAAUGACUUUUGGUAAGAAUCAAGAAUGAGUGUUUCCCUGUUAUGUGAGGUUCUUACAGCUAAGUUUGUUCUAGUAUGUGUUCCAAGUCUUUUUUUUUUUUUUUUUUUUUUCAUUUUCAAGUAACUAGAGUUAAGAAGGACUAUGAUUUCCUUUAUCUUCAUUUGAUUAAUUUAAAAAUGUAAUUAAGUUGUAGUUUUUAAUAACAUUUUUAAUAUAUCUAUUUUAAAAUAGUGUUUGAACGUAAUUUAAAUCCUUUUGUAUAAUUAAUUUCAUGUUUAUCGGAUCAGUAAAUAGUUUUACUUCCCAUGUAUGCUACUUUAAUCAAUUUAUCAACUUUAAGUUAGUUUUUCACAUGUCAACAAAUAAAAUAAAUUAUGUCAGUACAAUAAAUCGAAAGCUUUUAUCAAAACCACUGAAUAUUAUGCUGGAGGCUAUUUUGGAGACACGACACAUGGAUUUGGAGUCUACCACUUUUUCAAUCCACAUCUGCUAUUGAGAAUUUGAUGGUUGUGUUAUCUCUUUUUGGAGCAUGUUCACGGCAACAUGCAGUGUUUUACUAAGAUAGGAAGCUCUUUAUCCCUUCAAUAUUUUCUUCAUCUUUUCACAACAGAGAAGCAUCCAUGGCAGGCAUGGCCAACAGUGAGAUUUCACGGCUAGAGGUGAAUUCAGCAACAGCUGGUAAAGGAGGGCUUGAAAUAUAUUCAUUGUUAUAUGUGCACUUAGUGGUGUUUAUGGAGUAACAAAUGCUCAUUUUCAAGGUGGAAUGGUGGGAGACCUGUCCUGCAUGCAACCAGAGUUCAUUCAGUCAUUCCUUGCUGGUUUGGCAGCAUCUGGUGUAUUUUUGUGGGAAUGACAAAAGCAGCAUCUGGUGUUUUGAACUGAUAUUUAAUUUCAAUGUUCAUAAUGUCAAUCAUAAUUCAUAGAUGGACCAUUGUUGAGGUGUUAAUCAACUACUAUUUGCUUCUGUAGGGAUUUUUCUUUCAAAAAUCAGCCCUUUACAAGUGUAAUAUGGCUGGGAAACCUGCUGUGCUUACACGCAUUAUGGAUAGUGACUGACAACUUAAGACCAACUCGUGCAGAAGCCACUGAUGUUGCCAAUGGUGUUUUAGAUGGUAACUCACCUUUCACAUGAUCCUGCUAGUUAAGGGGAGUGAUGAGUACUAGGAUGUCCAGGAAAAUUUUAUCUUCUUGUUAAGUUUAUAUUUAUAUAUAGCUUGAAAUUUUCAUAUUAGAAUAGCAGAAGACCAUGGUGCACCACACUACCACUUUUUUCUUAGCUUCAACAACAUCAUUUGAUAAAACAUGGCCUCUCUCCGUUUUCUCUUCUUGACUUUCUUCGUUGUGUUGUCACUUAACACUGGUGAGGUUGAAGCUAGCAGAAAACUUUUGUCUUCAUCACUUCCUGAUUUGGGAAACAUUCCCGUCUUUGAGUUUCCACCGGGAACACCAUGGCCAGAAUACAGGUUGCCUCCAUUUUUGAAAUCUAAUUAGCCAACAAUUCCUUCAAGUUACUACUCUUACACUCCACCUUCCAACACAAACAUGGCCAAAGCUUCUUCCAAGCCUUGAGAACAUGCAUACAAUUUGGCAUCUUCUUACAUAUACUGUUGUUUUAGCAGCAAAAUAAAAAGGUUCAUGGUAAUGUUUUGGAUUCUACAAGCAAUUGGAGGGAAGCACUGGAUGCGUUUCAAGAGAGUUACAGUUUUGGCUGCAACAUAUGAUUGAAUUUGAUACCUGAAGAUCAAACACCUAAGCCAGGGCAUGUAAUCUGCAAUUGAAAGCUCCAACCAAGUUCAUCACCUCGUGAGUCAUCAAUUUUAAGUCCAAUCAUCUUUGGCACGCCCGAACACCAUUUUGAAGACGAUGUUCUCCAUUAGCUCAAACAGCAACUGACUCAGAUCCACAACCUUACCUGAUGCUGCACAAUUUUUCGGCGACUUCACCAACACUCUCAACUCCUCUCUCCUCAGUGGAGCAAACAUCUCAACCUUUGAGGCACUCAGAAGCUCCAGAGUGCAAACUUUCCUCAUGUUGCGCCAGUAUGCACUGUACUCAGAAAAGGCCAAACCUUUGAAGCCAUAAGAAAGAAAUUCGGAGGCUUGGAUUUUGGGUCUGCUGGCAAAAACAGUUUCAGGGGUUUUCAGGAACAGUUCUGCAGUUUGUGGAGAGAAUCAGUAUUUGUGGAGAAGGAAUUUCCGGUUAAAAUUCCCUGAAGUAUUUGUUAGAUUUUUCUUUCAUUAGUUUAGUACAGCUCUUGUUUUAGCUUAGUCUAACAUGCAUUUCUAGGUUUGAUUAGGUGAAAUUUCGUACUUCUUUUAUCAAUGACUGAUUACCUUGCUGCUUGCAAUGCAAUGGUAAUUACAAUGUACUUCUCUUGGAAUUCUUCUCUAAUGCAUGUUUAUCUGUCUCAUAUUUCCCUUUGA